rnacentral:misc_RNA from 1 species
AUCGAACUGCUUCCCCCACGUUCGAUCAACGGUUGCUCCUCGUUCUAACGUUGGAUGCAAAWUUGCGGGUUCCUGUGCGGCAUACCUAUCGUGAUGGAAAUUCGUCCCUUCGGUUGUCCCUUUUCAUCCUCGCAUCCUUGGUGGAUGCUCGGUUGGACCGAACAGAAGGGCUCGUGCUUCACGAACAUCUCACACAAUCGUUCGCAUGGAGCUCGAGCGCCUUCUUGUUCUCUCGGAUGCAGAACUUGCCUCGCGGGCGUGUGGUCAUUGGCCCUCGGUCCCGAAUGUUGAAGCGUUCAUCGCUUAUAACAGAAUGACGGUCUCGCCUUGUCCUAUGAUCAUGUGGAGCUCUCGGGCGACCACGAAGGAUCAUGCUCGGCGGACGUCGUGACAGAAUGCU